rfam:Ictidomys tridecemlineatus contig024152, whole genome shotgun sequence.
GGGGUUGUGGCUCAGUGGUAGCGCGCUCGCCUUAUGCGUGAGGGGCUCUGGGUUCAAUCCUCAGCACCA